CAAUUACUAUGUUUUCUCCCUCUCUUGUGGAGCUUUAAUUGCAGUAACAUUUGUGGUAUGGAUUGAAGACAACAAAGGGUGGCAAUGGGGUUUUGGUGUUGCUACUGCUGCAAUACUGGCUUCUAUCCCCGUUUUUCUCCUUGGCUCUCCUAUUUACAGGACAAAGAUUCCAGCAGGAAGUCCCAUUACCACAAUGUUUAAGGUAGAAAAUCAAACGAAUAAUUAAAUUUAAGAGUACAAAAGCACCGCAAGUUGCAAAGCUAGAGCUUGACUAAGUGACCCUUUCUCAUUCAUGCCCAACAGGUUUUAAUUGCAGCAGUUUGCAACAAUUGCAAGUCUAAGAAUCCAAGCAAUGCAGUCAUGGGCAUGAAGACAAGUCCCUCAUCCUACACUACUGAAACCGGUGAAGAAGGGAAUGCUACCAAGGUGAAGGUCCCAAGUCAGACUCUUACAGAAGACCUGGAGUUCCUAAAUAAAGCAGUCACUGAAAAAACAGUUAGCCCAAUGUUACAGUGUACAGUAAAGCAAGUAGAAGAGGUGAAGGUAGUGCUAAAAAUAAUCCCAGUUUUUAUGUGCACUAUAAUGCUGAACUGCUGCCUUGCUCAGCUCUCUACCUUUUCUAUCCAACAAGCAGC
rnacentral:lncRNA from 1 species